GGUCCAAUGGUGUAGCGGUUAUCACGUCUGCUUUACACGCAGAAGGUCGGCGGUUCGAUCCCGCCUUGGAUCA
rfam:Gongylonema pulchrum genome assembly, scaffold: GPTH_contig0030898